rnacentral:rRNA from 1 species
UACGUAGGGACCAAGCGUUGUUCGGAUUUACUGGGCGUAAAGGGCGCGUAGGCGGCGUGACAAGUCACUUGUGAAAUCUCUGGGCUUAACCCAGAACGGCCAAGUGAAACUGUUGUGCUAGAGUGCAGAAGGGGCAAUCGGAAUUCUCGGUGUAGCGGUGAAAUGCGUAGAUAUCGAGAGGGAACACCAGAGGUGAAGACGGGUUGCUGGGCUGACACGUGACGCUGAGGCGCGAAAGCCAGGGGAGCAAACGGG